ensembl:miRNA gmo-mir-30c gmo-mir-30c
UGUAAACAUCCUACACUCAGCUGUAGCCACGUUGACCACAGGCUGAGAGAAGGCUGUUUACUUU